UCGGCCUACAAAUACUUUGCAGGCACUCCUGCAUACGCUCCUCCUGAGUGGCUUCGUAAACAUCGCUACCAUGCGACUCCAGCUACAGUCUGGUCAGUAGGAGUGACGCUCUACAACAUCCUGUGUGACCGUUUCCCAUUCAGAGGCGCACAGAGGGUCACGUCCAGAAGCAGACUGACCUUCCCUAGGAGCUUGUCAACAGGUAAUGAUCAUCAUUUUUGUCAUGAAGACUCCUGCUCCGCACCAGAGCCAAUGCCUUCCACUGAUUGACCAAUGGUUCCUGUUCCUGGUUUACCUGUCGCUGGUCAGAAAGAGCAGGAUCUGAGGGAUUGUCUCAACAUCCAUCAGUCCACUCUCAGCGGUA